rnacentral:lncRNA from 1 species
AGCCAUGAGAGCAAGCCAGUAAGCAGCAUUCCUCCAUGGCCUCUGCAUCAGCUCUUGUCUCCCAGUUCCUGCCCUGUGUGAGUUCCUGUCCUGACUCCCUUCAAUGAUGAACAGGAUAUCUUCAAGGCACUCCAUCCGAUUUGUUGAACAUGACCUCCCCAGCCUGGGUCCUCGCAGCCUUCCUUCAAGAAAGUGGGCUUUUCCAGGUGCUCUCCCACCACUGCCUUCAAGAAUGCUUCCAAGAAUUCCUUCCACUUCACCCUUCUCUACCCCCAAGCACACCAGAUGUUACACAUGCUAGUGUCCUAUCUUUCUGCUUGUCUUAAGAGGAAUCUUAAAAGAAAUAUGAAGGCUAUAUCUGGCUAUCUUCAAAUCCUUCCAAAGAGAUGGCUUUCAGUCACUGCCUCUUUACCUUGACUGCUCUUCCUGAGUUCAAGCUUUUUUUUAAAAUGGUAAAAUGAAUCUCCACGUUUUGCUUUGUUUUGCUUACCAUUUUCAUGACAUAUUAUGAUGUGUUUAAAAUAGCCAUGCCAUUGUGAACAUACUGUAUUGUGUAUCAUAAUUGUGCAUGACUUUAUUUAUGAGCUAAAUAAAUGAAUGAAAAAAAAAAGAAGGGACUUUGAGAGCCCAUCCCAUGGGAAGGGAUGCUCUCAUCCAGGACACAUGGGGGAGCGCCUAGGCCUGGCCCAGGAUGAAGUUGUGGAAUUUGGG